AUUGAACGCUGGCGGCAGGCCUAACACAUGCAAGUCGAGCGGAUGAAGGGAUCUUGCUCCUGGAUUCAGCGGCGGACGAGUGAGUAAUGCCUAGUAACCUCCCUGGCAGUGGGGGAUAACGUCCGGAAACGGGCGCUAAUACCGCAUACGUCCUGAGGGAGAAAGUGGGGGAUCUUCGGACCUCACGCUAUCAGAUGAGCCUAGGUCGGAUUAGCUAGUUGGUGGGGUAAAGGCCUACCAAGCCGACGAUCCGUAACUGGUCUGAGAGGAUGAGCAGUCACACUGGAACUGAGACACGGUCCAGACUCCGACGGGAGGAAGCAGUGGGGAAUAUUGGACAAUGGGCGAAAGCCUGAUCCAGGAAUGCCGAGUGUGUGAAGAAGGUCUUCGGAUUGUAAAGCACUUUAAGUUGGGAGGAAGGGCAGUAAGUUAAUACCUUGCUGUUUUGACGUUACCAACAGAAUAAGCCCCGGCUAAGUUCGUG
rnacentral:rRNA from 1 species